UACGUAGGGUGCAAGCGUUGUCCGGAAUCAUUGGGCGUAAAGAGCGUGUAGGCGGCCCGGUAAGUCCGCUGUAAAAGUCAAAGGCUCAACCUUUGAAUGUCAGUGGAUACUGCCGGGCUAGAGUCCGGAAGAGGCGAGUGGAACUCCUGGUGUAGCGGUGGAAUGCGCAGAUAUCAGGAAGAACACCAACGGCGAAGGCAGCUCGCUGGGACGGUACUGACGCUGAGACGCGAAAGCGUGGGGAGCAAACAGG
rnacentral:rRNA from 1 species